AAAAGACAAGCUCAAUUGUCCAAAUUUCUUCACCUCUUUUUAUCUUUCUGUUUUGGCUCGUCUUCUUUACCUUUGGUUAAGCUCUGUUUUGUGGUUGAUCCCGUGGAUUGUCACAAGAAAAGGGGUAGUGAGGUGAAUACAAGAACUACUGUGAAUCUGCAGCUAUAUCCAUGGUAGAAGAUGAUUCUAAGUUGGUAUUGUCCUUGUUUAUGUUUGGCUAAUGCUGCAAGAGUAUAACCGAGUGGUGUAUUAGUAACCGCUACUUUAUCAAAAAAGUUGCACUGCUACCUAUCUUUGUUAGGUUGUCCUCCAGUCCAUUUCCCUCUCUGUAUGUAUGGCUUAUCGAUGUAUUUUUCAGUUGUUGGAGUAACCACAUGCAGUCGUGCAAAAUAUUGGAGUAUAUGAGGUUAGUAGAUUGUAAGUGAUGGAGAACUUCUUACAGAACUAUUUUCUGUGCCUAGUGGUUGUAAGUUAUAGGCAAGGUCCAGGCAAACUGUAAGCUUGCAGUAGAACCCGCAGUUCAGUGCGAAUACUGGACAAUUAGUAAGGAGUGAAAGUCUCUUAACGGUAAGAAGAGAAGCUCAUGAAUAUCUUUCCUCAUCGUGUAGUAGGAGAAUAAAUACCACUACAUCCUUUCUUUCCCCUUGAAAUAUGAUCUAUUAGUGGCAAGAAAUACUAGUAUUCUGUUGCACCAAUUUGUUAAUAACAAGACUUUUUCUUUAA